ACCAUCAGGUAAUGACUUCACAGAAUAGAACCAUCAGGUAAUGACUACACAGAAUAGAACCAUCAGAUAAUGACUACACAGAAUAGAACCAUCAGAUAAUGACUUCACAGAAUAGAACCAUCAGGUAAUGACUUCACAGAAAAGAACCAUCAGGUAAUGGUUUCACAGAAUAGAACCAUCAGAUAAUGACUUCACAGAAUAGAACCAUCAGGUAAUGACUUCACUGAAUAGAACCAUCAGGUAAUGACUUCACAGCAGACAACAUCAGGUAAUGACUUCACAGAAUAGAACCAUCAGAUAAUGACUUCACAGCAGACAACAUCAGGUAAUGACUUCACUGAAUAGAACCAUCAGGUAAUGACUUCACUGAAUAGAACCAUCAGGCAAUGACUUCACAGCAGACAACAUCAGGUAAUGACUACACAGAAUAGAACCAUCAGGUAAUGACUUCACAGAAUAGAACCAUCAGGUAAUGACUUCACAGAAUAGAACCAUCAGGUAAUGACUUCACAGCAGACAACAUCAGGUAAUGACUUCACUGAAUAGAACCAUCAGGUAAUGACUUCACUGAAUAGAACCAUCAGGCAAUGACUUCACAGCAGACAACAUCAGGUAAUGACUACACAGAAUAUAACCAUCAGGUAAUGACUACACAGAAUAGAACCAUCAGAUAAUGACUUCACAGAA